AUUUCUUGUUCUAAGUCAGCACGCAUUGUUACCAGACCACAGAGUGACUCCUCAGCCUGCUGCAGCUGGCCCUUCAGUGCCGACACAUUCUUGCUUAUUGACUUUACCUCAUCCACCAACCUGCAACAGCAUGCAGGGAGACAUCCGGGAAGACCUAUGAAGAAAUGGAGCCAGAAUAGGCAGCUGCCUAAACCUUGACCGAGGAUGAAGAUGAUGAUGUUACUUGUUAGCCUUACUGUACAGACUGAAGCUUUUGAUGGAAAGGAGAUAUCCAUGCGGCCCAUGAAGUCCCUUGCCUCUCCUAUCAGUGCUGUCUCCUAAAACAGGUACCAAAAUUUAUUAUAGUUAACAAGAAUUUUAACAAAUACAAUCUAUGCAGAGUUUCAUAACUCAAUAGUGUUGAUGUUCAUUUACUGUAAAUACAAAUCUAAUUGUUGGAAAGUUAAUCAACGGUACAGAUACCACACUGCACAGGUGUUAUAAAUGCCAUUGUUAAGAAAGCUAAUAAAUAUUAUCUAUACUUGGAUACCUGAAAAUGAAUGGAAUAUCUCCA